AACGCACAUUGCGCCCGCCGGUAUUCCGGCGGGCAUGCCUGUCCGAGCGUCAUUUCAACCCUCGAGCCCCCCCGGGGGCCCGGUGUUGGGGGACGGCCCCGCCCCUCGCGGGCGCCGCCCCCGAAAUCCAGUGGCGGUCCCGCCGCGUCCUCCCAUGCGCAGUAGCUCUUGCUCGCAGAGGGAUCGCGGCGGGGCCUCGCCGUAAAACCCCCAACUUCUGAAAAGGUUGACCUCGGAUCAGGUAGGACUACCCGCUGAACUUAA
rnacentral:misc_RNA from 1 species